rnacentral:rRNA from 1 species
AGAGUUUGAUCAUGGCUCAGAACGAACGCUGGCGGCAUGCCUAACACAUGCAAGUCGAACGGGAUCCAUCCUUCGGGAUGGUGAGAGUGGCGGACGGGUGAGUAACGCGUGGGAACCUGCCCAGUGGUGGGGGAUAACUGCGGGAAACUGCAGCUAAUACCGCAUGAGCCCGCAAGGGGAAAGAUUUAUCGCCAUUGGAGGGGCCCGCGUUCGAUUAGGUAGUUGGUGAGGUAAUGGCUCACCAAGCCUUCGAUCGAUAGCUGGUCUGAGAGGAUGAUCAGCCACACUGGGACUGAGAUACGGCCCAGACUCCUACGGGAGGCAGCAGUGGGGAAUAUUGGACAAUGGGGGCAACCCUGAUCCAGCAAUGCCGCGUGAGUGAUGAAGGCCUUCGGGUUGUAAAGCUCUUUUGCCAGGGACGAUGAUGACGGUACCUGGAGAAUAAGCCCCGGCUAACUUCGUGCCAGCAGCCGCGGUAAUACGAAGGGGGCAAGCGUUGUUCGGAAUUACUGGGCGUAAAGGGCGCGUAGGCGGCUUACCAAGUCAGGCGUGAAAUUCCCGGGCUCAACCUGGGGGCUGCGCUUGAUACUGGUGAGCUUGAAUGCGGGAGAGGAUAGUGGAAUUCCCAGUGUAGAGGUGAAAUUCGUAGAUAUUGGGAAGAACACCAGUGGCGAAGGCGGCUAUCUGGCCCGUAAUUGACGCUGAGGCGCGAAAGCGUGGGGAGCAAACAGGAUUAGAUACCCCCGUAGUCC